AUGAACGCUAGCUACAGGCUUAACACAUGCAAGUCGAGGGGCAGCAUGAACUUAGCUUGCUAAGUUUGAUGGCGACCGGCGCACGGGUGAGUAACACGUAUCCAACCUGCCGAUGACUCGGGGAUAGCCUUUCGAAAGAAAGAUUAAUACCCGAUGGCAUAGUUCUUCCGCAUGGUGGAACUAUUAAAGGAUUUCGGUCAUCGAUGGGGAUGCGUUCCAUUAGGUUGUUGGCGGGGUAACGGCCCACCAAGCCUUCGAUGGAUAGGGGUUCUGAGAGGAAGGUCCCCCACAUUGGAACUGAGACACGGUCCAAACUCCUACGGGAGGCAGCAGUGAGGAAUAUUGGUCAAUGGACGAGAGUCUGAACCAGCCAAGUAGCGUGAAGGAUGACUGCCCUAUGGGUUGUAAACUUCUUUUAUACGGGAAUAAAGUGAGGCACGUGUGCCUUUUUGUAUGUACCGUAUGAAUAAGGAUCGGCUAACUCCGUGCCAGCAGCCGCGGUAAUACGGAGGAUCCGAGCGUUAUCCGGAUUUAUUGGGUUUAAAGGGAGCGUAGGCGGACGCUUAAGUCAGUUGUGAAAGUUUGCGGCUCAACCGUAAAAUUGCAGUUGAUACUGGGUGUCUUGAGUACAGUAGAGGCAGGCGGAAUUCGUGGUGUAGCGGUGAAAUGCUUAGAUAUCACGAAGAACUCCGAUUGCGAAGGCAGCCUGCUGGACUGUAACUGACGCUGAUGCUCGAAAGUGUGGGUAUCAAACAGGAUUAGAUACCCUGGUAGUCCACACCGUAAACGAUGGAUACUAGGUGUAGGGUGUGAUAAACGCUCUGUGCCGUCGCAAACGCAGUAAGUAUCCCACCUGGGGAGUACGGCCGCAAGGUUGAAACUCAAAGGAAUUGACGGGGGCCCGCACAAGCAGUGGAGUAUGUGGUUUAAUUCGAAGCAACGCGAAGAACCUUACCAGGUCUUGACAUCCGAUGCAUAGCACAGAGAUGUGUGAAAUCCUUCGGGACAUCGAGACAGGUGGUGCAUGGUUGUCGUCAGCUCGUGUCGUGAGAUGUUGGGUUAAGUCCCGCAACGAGCGCAACCCUUAUUGCCAGUUACUACGUUAAGAGGACUCUGGCGAGACUGCCGUUGGCAAAACGGAGGAAGGUGGGGAUGACGUCAAAUCAGCACGGCCCUUACGUCCGGGGCUACACACGUGUUACAAUGGGGGGUACAGAAGGCAGCUACACGGCGACGUGAUGCUAAUCCCGAAAGCCUCUCUCAGUUCGGAUUGGAGUCUGCAACCCGACUCCAUGAAGCUGGAUUCGCUAGUAAUCGCGCAUCAGCCACGGCGCGGUGAAUACGUUCCCGGGCCUUGUACACACCGCCCGUCAAGCCAUGAAAGCCGGGGGUACCUGAAGUGCGUAACCGCAAGGAGCGCCCUAGGGUAAAACUGGUGAUUGGGGCU
rnacentral:rRNA from 1 species